rnacentral:rRNA from 1 species
GAUGAACGCUGGCGGCGUGCCUAAUACAUGCAAGUCGAGCGAACAGACGAGGAGCUUGCUCCUCUGACGUUAGCGGCGGACGGGUGAGUAACACGUGGAUAACCUACCUAUAAGACUGGGAUAACUUCGGGAAACCGGAGCUAAUACCGGAUAAUAUAUUGAACCGCAUGGUUCAAUAGUGAAAGACGGGUUUGCUGUCACUUAUAGAUGGAUCCGCGCCGCAUUAGCUAGUUGGUAAGGUAACGGCUUACCAAGGCAACGAUGCGUAGCCGACCUGAGAGGGUGAUCGGCCACACUGGAACUGAGCCACGGUCCAGACUCCUACGGGAGGCAGCAGUAGGGAAUCUUCCGCAAUGGGCGAAAGCCUGACGGAGCAACGCCGCGUGAGUGAUGAAGGUCUUCGGAUCGUAAAACUCUGUUAUUAGGGAAGAACAAAUGUGUAAGUAACUAUGCACGUCUUGACGGUACCUAAUCAGAAAGCCACGGCUAACUACGUG